AUACGGAGAAUACGAGCGUUAUCCGGAUUUAUUGGGUUUAAAGGGUGCGCAGGCGGACCGUUAAGUCAGGGGUGAAAAGUUGGGGCUCAACUCCAAUCGUGCCUUUGAUACUGGCGGACUAGAGUGCAGGGGACGUGACUGGAAUGUGAUGUGUAGCGGUGAAAUGCUUAGAUAUGUCACAGAACGCCGAUCGUGAAGACAGGUCACGAAUCUGCAACUGACGCUCAUGCACGAAAGCGUGGGGAUCAAACAGGAUUAGAUACCCUGGUAGUCCACGCUGUAAACGAUGAUCACUCGUUGUUGGCCGGCGACGGUCAGUGGCUAAGCGAAAGCGAUAAGUGAUCCACCUGGGGAGUACGAUCGCAAGAUUGAAACUCAAAGGAAUUGACGGGG
rnacentral:rRNA from 1 species